UACGGAGGGUGCAAACGUUGCUCGGAAUCAUUGGGCGUAAAGCACACGUAGGCGGUUCGUUAAGUCGGAUGUGAAAGCCCUGGGCUCAACCCAGGAAGAGCAUUCGAAACUGGCGGACUGGAGUAUGGAAGAGGGUCGCGGAAUUCCCGGUGUAGAGGUGAAAUUCGUAGAUAUCGGGAGGAACACCAGUGGUGAAGGCGGCGACCUGGGCCAAUACUGACGCUGAGGUGCGAAAGCGUGGGGAG
rnacentral:rRNA from 1 species